AUUGAUUCGGAACACCCGGAUUUAACCUCACAAGUCGAACAAUCGCCUGAAGUUUUCGCCGCGUCGGUGGGCUUCGGUUCGCCGCGCCGGUCAGUCGCCAAACGCGUCGCGUCGCGAAUCUGAAACGCGUUCGACGUUUCUCGCGAUUAUUACUGUAUGUUCUAUGUACGUAUGUACGUACAUAGAAAAGUGAAUCUCGCGCGGAAGAAACAAUUAUCGCGAGGCCGAUUUUUCGCGGUAGGUUAUCGGACGACGUUCGUCGUAACGCGAUGGACAAUGUCGGUGAUCGCGACGCGCGCGGGUCGAUGUUUUCUGAAUGCUGUGGCGUCGUUUCGAGUUUCAACGAUCGCCGAUAUAUAUGUUGCUUUUCUAUAGACGUAGAUUUGAAAUUGAUUACGGAAUCGCAACGUAUCGAACAGAUCAUUUUCACAUCGCUCCAUGUUUCCGACGAUCGUCGACGCGAAAAAUGUACGCAUCUCACGUGGAAGAAGCAAAUAAUCGCGAGUGCCUUUCGCAGUAUCGGACGGUUUCGUCGUAAGUGGACAUGUCGGCAAUCGCGGCGCGUGCCGAUAUCGCGACGCUUUCCGAAUGCUGCGCGUCGUUUCCACGGUUCAACGAUCGCCUUGUUUUUUCAUAAAUUUUGAAUUCGAGAUUGAUUACGGAGUCGCAACGCCUCGAACAGAUCGUUUUCACAUCGCUCCGUAUUUCUGACGAUCGUCGACGCGUAAAAAUGUGUACGCAUCUCACGGGGGACAGAAACAAUCGCGAGUGUCUUUCGCAACGAACGGUCUACGAGAUCGUACGUAUAUUAAACGUGUGGCCGCUUGCAUACGUUUUGGGACUAUGGUUGACACCCGUGAUGUGCGCCCGUGAUCUUCGCCUGGAAUUGAUUGAGUCUUCCCGUUAUUUUUUCACUGGAGUGCCAACGAAAACGCAGCUAUCACAUCAAGUUUUGUCCGUCUUGACACCACUGUGAGUCAUUCCGAAAUCGCGCAGCUUAUUCCCAGAAGGCAACCAGUUUUGAGUGUUUAAGUGCAAUGAAGGAAUUCUGAGAGGAGGAGGAGGCCUGGAAGGCAUCGGGCAACAGCGGAACAACCAUGGA